rnacentral:sRNA from 1 species
AGCAUCUGAGAGACAGGUGUGCGUCAUGCAGUUGAAGCACCUGAGGACCCUGCUGAGCCCUCAGGAUGGAGCUGCAAAGGUGACCUGCAUGGCUUGGUCCCAGAACAAUGCCAAAUUUGCUGUCUGCACAGUGGACCGAGUGGUCUUGCUGUAUGAUGAACAUGGAGAACGGAGAGAUAAAUUCUCCACCAAACCAGCUGACAUGAAGUAUGGCAGGAAGAGCUAUAUGGUGAAGGGCAUGGCUUUUUCUCCUGAUUCCACUAAAAUUGCCAUAGGACAGACUGACAACAUCAUCUAUGUCUACAAGAUUGGAGAAGAUUGGGGUGACAAGAAAGUCAUCUGCAACAAGUUCAUCCAGACGAGUGCUGUCACUUGUCUGCAAUGGCCUGCAGAGUACAUCAUUGUCUUUGGACUGGCUGAAGGGAAGGUUCGUUUAGCAAACACCAAAACUAAUAAAUCAUCUACCAUCUAUGGGACAGAGUCUUACGUGGUGUCCCUGACAACAAAUUGCUCUGGGAAAGGAAUUCUCUCUGGUCAUGCAGAUGGUACCAUCGUUAGGUAUUUCUUUGAUGAUGAAGGCUCUGGAGAGUCACAGGGGAAGUUGGUUAACCACCCGUGUCCACCCUAUGCCUUGGCAUGGGCAACCAAUAGCAUCGUGGCUGCAGGCUGUGAUCGGAAAAUUGUAGCCUAUGGAAAAGAAGGCCACGUGCUACAAACUUUUGAUUAUAGCCGUGACCCUCAGGAGCGGGAGUUCACCACAGCUGUAGCAAGUCCUGGGGGCCAGUCUGUUGUGCUAGGAAGUUAUGACAGGCUUCGGGUGUUCAACUGGAUCCCUCAAAGAAGCAUCUGGGAAGAGGCAAAGCCCAAGGAGAUUACCAAUUUAUACACCAUCACUGCCUUGGCCUGGAAGCGGGAUGGCUCACGGCUGUGUGUGGGCACACUAUGUGGUGGGGUGGAACAGUUUGACUGCUGCCUCCGAAGGAGUAUUUACAAGAACAAGUUUGAGUUGACGUAUGUGGGACCUAGCCAGGUGAUUGUGAAGAACCUGUCAUCAGGAACCCGAGUGGUGCUCAAGUCACACUAUGGCUAUGAGGUGGAAGAGGUGAAAAUCCUAGGAAAGGAACGUUACUUGGUGGCCCACACAUCAGAAACACUGCUGCUGGGGGACCUGAACACUAAUCGGCUUAGUGAGAUAGCCUGGCAAGGAUCUGGUGGCAAUGAGAAGUAUUUCUUUGAAAAUGAGAAUGUAUGCAUGAUCUUCAAUGCUGGAGAGCUAACCCUGGUGGAAUAUGGGAAUAAUGACACCCUGGGUUCUGUACGCACUGAAUUCAUGAAUCCCCACCUCAUCAGUGUUCGUAUUAAUGAGAGGUGUCAGCGAGGAACAGAAGAUAAUAAGAAAUUGGCUUAUCUUAUUGAUAUUAAGACUAUUGCUAUAGUGGAUCUGAUUGGUGGCUACAACAUAGGCACCGUCAGCCAUGAGAGCCGUGUGGAUUGGCUGGAACUUAAUGAGACUGGACACAAGCUCCUCUUCAGGGACCGGAAACUUCGUUUGCAUCUGUAUGAUAUUGAAAGCUGCUCUAAGACAAUGAUCCUCAACUUCUGCUCCUACGUGCAGUGGGUCCCAGGUAGUGAUGUGCUGGUAGCUCAGAACCGAAACAGUCUGUGUGUGUGGUACAACAUUGAGGCACCUGAGAGAGUCACCAUGUUCACUCUUAGGGUAUGUUGGACACUAGGGGCCCUCAGAUGUGGUAUUGAGUUGAUUAAUUAGAGCCAUGAGGAGACUCUGAAGGCUACUUGGUUUUCUGUGUCCACCACCCUUAAUCUCUGUGAUA